GCCGAGAGGGCGAGGAAUAAAAGACCUUCGGGGAAUAACUCCAGCCGACUUUGGACGGUUUACGAACCUCUUGGCACCCUAUU
rnacentral:ncRNA from 1 species